rnacentral:lncRNA from 1 species
GGCAUUUGUGGAAAUUUCCCAAAGAUUAGUGUUUUUAUAUUAUACUUGUAUUUAUGGUUUUAAUCUCUUUAUUUAAGAAUAUUGAUUUCAGUUUUUGAUUUAUUGGGUGAUUUUAUUUCAUAUUAUGAUGACGCUUUGCAAUGUUCAAUUCUGAAAAAAACAAUAACAAAAGACUGAGUGACUGGAUAAUGCCAGCGAUGAUGCUAGUGUUAAUUAACAAGAGGAGGUACAAAGAUAGUUUUUUUUUUUUUGUAUUCAUUUUAGACAUCACAAUUGUUUUUUUUACUUUAUAUUUAUCUUUUGAAGCACUGAUAUAUCGUUUUAUUUACAUAUUUUGUUAGAUUUAAGUACUAGAAAAUAAUGGAUUUAUCAAAUAAAAAAAGAGAAACAGAGUUCUAUAUAAUCUGUUUGGAUAAUUAUACUAUUUUAAAUUAUCAUUAACUAAAAUAAUCUGUUUGGUGUUAUUAUCCAAAAUAAUAUUUGUAAUAAAAUUAAAUAAAUCAAAAAUAAAAUAAUAUUUAAAUAUUGUUUGUAUUUACUGAUAUUUUUCUUGAAAAUAUAAAUAGUUUUAUGUGUGUGUUUAGAAUUAGUAUAGGAAAUUAUUUUUAUUCCACUGGAGGGAAGUGACUAUUUGCACAGUUUUUGACAUGGAUUUUAAUGAAUGUUUUGGUAACUAUCAGAAUUACUA